rnacentral:tRNA from 2 species
GCCGCCGUAGCGUAGCUUGGUAGCGCAGAGGCCUGAAAAGUCUCUAGGGCGGGUUCAAAGCACCUCCCGGUAGGUGGGAAUAUCCCGCCGGCGGCC